GGGUAAUUAAGUAACUACAAGUUUGACUAUUAUUUAUAUUCAUAGCUGCUUGCAGCUUCCCUUUUGUUGCAACAAUAAUAAAUGACCCCAUUUGGCUAUUUAGCACCUGAUGAGGUUUGACAUAUUGCAACGCUGAAUCUUGAAGAAGAAGAAGAAGAAAAUGGGUAUGCUUAAGGAAUCAGUAUCAGUAUUGAUAAGCGUGCUUAUGAGGAAAAGUAGAAGCAUGUUUGAUGAACUUGCUUACUUAUUGGUAGACGUAUUAUCAAUUUUGGUAUCAGCUAUCAGAUUUUAUUCUCAUUCUAAUAGCUUGCAUUUCCGCCAAUCCACCACUGCAUCUAUUAACCCCAGCUUUGUAUUGAUAAAUCGAGUUAACACACUCCAUGCUUGGAAGACGGGGUGGUUAGCCAUUUUGCUCGUCUUCAUGCUUGUAUUAUUUGAGAAUUGAGAGUGUCAAAAGAUUCUCAGCUUUAAAAUUUAGUUAAUCCCCCCAAAGAAUCUGGAGCUGCAAGUAUCUACUGCAAAGAAACUGGACUGUCGUACUGGAGAGAAGUGUUUUUGGAGCAUUUAUCAGCUGAAAACAUUAAUGUAUUGUCAUCGUCUUCUUUUGUUCUUUUUGGUAUGUCCUUCACAAAUCAUGCCUUUCAACCUCUAUUGCUUUUUUUGGUCCAUAUGCAAUCUCUUUUUCUACUGGUUAAUUUCCUUGUAAUCACUUGGUCUGUAUAAUAUCUAAAGAAGUUCGAAACUGGAAUGGAUCGGGUGCUAAAUUUGAUGCACGUAACUCUAUCUGGACUGGGAACAAACUUGAAUUAGGGCAGGCAGAUUCUAAUAAUACUAGCUAAGCAGGCUGGCUUCACUUGCAAUCAUAAUUCUGAUAAUGUGUCUACUACUUUUAGAUUAUUGGUAGUGAGCAUUGUUUAUCUUUUGUGGUUUCUUUAAAUCAGCAUUGUGCUGUUCUGCCGGCAGAGAGAAAAUUAAGUCAGUUUUGAUGGACCUGUUUAUAUGAACCAAGAACUAAUUAGCAAUAAUAAGAAGAAAAACAACAGUAAUUCAAUUCCAUCGGUUUGUAAUGCCGCCCUAUGAAAAUUUCAAGCUGAAAACUGGCUAAUCACAAGCAGAUAGCAAACAAAAUCCAAUCUCAAUAUAAUAUAACAUCGCUGGACUCAGUUAUUCAUCAAUCAAUGUGUUCAUAAUAAUGAAAGUACAGUAAUUUUAACUUCAUGUUUUAUGCAGUUCAUACAGUAAGGGUGAUGAGACAGGAGCUGACCAAUGCAAUGGCACAGCCACACAGAU